rnacentral:rRNA from 1 species
AUUGAACGCUGGCGGCAUGCCUAACACAUGCAAGUCGAGCGAGCGGCGGACGGGUGAGUAAUGUCGGGGAACCUGCCUGAUGGCGGGGGAUAACUACUGGAAACGGUAUCUAAUCCCGCAUACAAUCAGCUGUGGCCAGAGGGGAUGAGCUAGUAGGUGGGGUAAUGGCUCACCUAGGCGACGAUCCCUACCUGGUCUGAGAGGAUGACCAGCCACACUGGAACUGAGACACGGCCCAGACUCCGACGGGAGGCAGCAGUGGGGAAUAUUGCACAAUGGGCGAAAGCCUGAUGCAGCAAUGCCGAGUGUGUGAAGAAGGCCUUCGGGUGGUAAAGCACUUUCAGCGGGGAGGCGUUACCCGAAGAAGAAGCACCGGCUAACUCCGUGCCAGCAGCCGCGGUAAUUC